rnacentral:rRNA from 1 species
CUUGACAUCCAGAGAAUUUAGCAGAGAUGCUUUAGUGCCUUCGGGAACUCUGAGACAGGUGCUGCAUGGCUGUCGUCAGCUCGUGUUGUGAAAUGUUGGGUUAAGUCCGCAACGAGCGCAACCCUUUAUCCUUUGUUGCCAGCACGUAAUGGUGGGAACUCAAAGGAGACUGCCGGUGAUAAACCGGAGGAAGGUGGGGAUGACGUCAAGUCAUCAUGGCCCUUACGAGUAGGGCUACACACGUGCUACAAUGGCGUAUACAAAGAGAAGCGACCUCGCGAGAGCAAGCGGACCUCAUAAAGUGCGUCGUAGUCCGGAUUGGAGUCUGCAACUCGACUCCAUGAAGUCGGAAUCGCUAGUAAUCGUAAAUCAGAAUGUUACGGUGAAUACGUUCCCGGGCCUUGUACACACCGCCCGUCACACCAUGGGAGUGGGUUGCAAAAGAAGUAGAUAGCUUAACCUUCGGGAGGGCGUUUACCACUUUGUGAUUCAUGACUGGGGUGAAGUCGUAACAAGGUAGGCGUAGUGCU